rnacentral:rRNA from 1 species
UACGUAGGGGGCAAGCGUUGUCCGGAUUUAUUGGGCGUAAAGAGCGUGUAGGCGGCCAAAUAGGUCGGUUGUGAAAACUGGAGGCUUAACCUCCAGACGUCGACCGAAACCAUCUGGCUAGAGUCCGGAAGAGGAGAGUGGAAUUCCUGGUGUAGCGGUGAAAUGCGCAGAUAUCAGGAGGAACACCGAUGGCGAAGGCAGGUCUCUGGGCCGAUACUGACGCUGAGGAGCGAAAGCGUGGGGAGCGAACAGG